AGAGUUUGAUUCUGGCUCAGAACGAACGCUGGCAGCGUGGAUUAGGCAUGCAAGUCGAACGGGAUCCAGGGCUAUAGCAAUAUAAUCCUGGUGAGAGUGGCGUAAGGGUGAGUAACGCGUGGGUAAUCUGCCUCCGAGUUGGGGAUAACCCGCCGAAAGGCGGGCUAAAACCGAAUGUGGUCGGCUCUCACAAGAGAGACGGAUUAAAGACGGGGAUCCUUCGGGACCUGUUGCUCGGAGAGGAGCUCGCGUGCCAUCAGCUAGUUGGUGGGGUAACGGCCCACCAAGGCUUACGGCUAGCUGGUCUGAGAGGAUGACCAGCCACACUGGGACUGAGACACUGCCCAGACUCCUACGGGAGGCUGCAGUCGAGGAUCUUGGACAAUGGGGGCAACCCUGAUCCAGCGACGCUGCGUGGAGGAUGAAGGCCUUCGGGUUGUAAACUCCUGUCAUUCGGGAAAAACGACUCCGGGGUUAAUACCCCCGGGGAGUGAUGGUACCGGAAGAGGAAGCCACGGCUAACUCUGUGCCAGCAGCCGCGGUAAUACAGAGGUGGCAAGCGUUGUUCGGAUUUACUGGGCGUAAAGGGUGCGUAGGUGGUUGCCUGUGUCGAGUGUGAAAGCCCAAGGCUCAACCUUGGAACGGCGCUCGAAACUGGGUGACUGGAGUACAGGAUGGGAGAGCGGAAUUCUUGGUGUAGCGGUGAAAUGCGUUGAUAUCAAGAAGAACACCGGUGGCGAAGGCGGCUCUCUGGAAUGUUACUGACACUGAGGCACGAAAGCUGGGGGAGCAAACAGGAUUAGAUACCCUGGUAGUCCCAGCCGUAAACGGUGCGCACUUGGUGUGGGGGGAUUUGACCCCCUCCGUGCCGGAGCUAACGCGUUAAGUGCGCCGCCUGGGGAGUACGGUCGCAAGACUAAAACUCAAAGAAAUUGACGGGGGCCCGCACAAGCGGAGGAGCAUGUGGCUCAAUUCGAUGCAACGCGAAGAACCUUACCAGGGCUUGACAUGCAGCUGCACGUCCCGUGAAAGCGGGAUUCCUUCGAGGGUGCUGCACAGGUGCUGCAUGGCUGUCGUCAGUUCGUGCCGUGAGGUGUUGGGUUAAGUCCCGCAACGAACGCAACCCCUGUGUUUAGUUGCUACCGGGUCAUGCCGGGCACUCUAAACAGACUGCCUGUACCAAACAGGAGGAAGGUGGGGACGACGUCAAGUCAGUAUGGCCCUUACGCCCUGGGCUGCACACGUGCUACAAUGGUCGGUACAGAGGGAGGCAAGACCGCGAGGUGGAGCAAAUCCUCAAAACCGGCCCCAGUUCGGAUUGAAGGCUGCAACUCGCCUUCAUGAAGUUGGAUUCGCUAGUAAUGGCGCAUCAGCUACGGCGCCGUGAAUACGUUCCCGGGCCUUGUACACACCGCCCGUCACAUCAUGAAAGCCGUCUGCACCCGAAGUCGCUGAUUCAACCCGCAAGGGGGAUAGGUGCCUAAGGUGUGGGUGGUGAUUGGGAUGAAGUCGUAACAAGGUA
rnacentral:rRNA from 1 species